UACGUAGGGGGCAAGCGUUGUCCGGAAUUAUUGGGCGUAAAGAGCGCGUAGGCGGUCCGGUAAGUCGGUUGUGAAAGUCGGGGGCUCAACCCUCGGAUGCCGAUCGAUACUGUCGGGCUAGAGUCCGGAAGAGGCGAGUGGAAUUCCUGGUGUAGCGGUGAAAUGCGCAGAUAUCAGGAAGAACACCAAUGGCGAAAGCAGCUUUCUGGGACGGUACUGACGCUGCGACGCGAAAGCGUGGGGAGCGAACAGG
rnacentral:rRNA from 1 species